rnacentral:rRNA from 1 species
CGGUAACAGGUCUUCGGAUGCUGACGAGUGGCGAACGGGUGAGUAAUACAUCGGAACGUGCCUAGUAGUGGGGGAUAACUACUCGAAAGAGUAGCUAAUACCGCAUGAGAUCUACGGAUGAAAGCAGGGGAUCGCAAGACCUUGUGCUACUAGAGCGGCUGAUGGCAGAUUAGGUAGUUGGUGGGAUAAAAGCUUACCAAGCCGACGAUCUGUAGCUGGUCUGAGAGGACGAUCAGCCACACUGGGACUGAGACACGGCCCAGACUCCUACGGGAGGCAGCAGUGGGGAAUUUUGGACAAUGGGCGAAAGCCUGAUCCAGCAAUGCCGCGUGCAGGAUGAAGGCCUUCGGGUUGUAAACUGCUUUUGUACGGAACGAAAAGCUUUGGGUUAAUACCCUGGAGUCAUGACGGUACCGUAAGAAUAAGCACCGGCUAACUACGUGCCAGCAGCCGCGGUAAUACGUAGGGUGCAAGCGUUAAUCGGAAUUACUGGGCGUAAAGCGUGCGCAGGCGGUUUUGUAAGACAGAGGUGAAAUCCCCGGGCUCAACCUGGGAACUGCCUUUGUGACUGCAAGGCUAGAGUACGGCAGAGGGGGGUGGAAUUCCGCGUGUAGCAGUGAAAUGCGUAGAUAUGCGGAGGAACACCGAUGGCGAAGGCAACCCCCUGGGCCUGUACUGACGCUCAUGCACGAAAGCGUGGGGAGCAAACAGGA